AUUGAACGCUGGCGGCAUGCCUUACACAUGCAAGUCGAACGGUAACAGGUUAAGCUGACGAGUGGCGAACGGGUGAGUAAUGUAUCGGAACGUGCCCAGUCGGGGGGGAUAACUGCUCGAAAGAGCAGCUAAUACCGCAUACGACCUGGGGGGAAAAGGGGGGGAUCGCAAGACCUCGCGCAAUUGGAGCGGCCGAUAUCAGAUUAGGUAGUUGGUGAGGUAAAGGCUCACCAAGCCGACGAUCUGUAGCUGGUCUGAGAGGACGACCAGCCACACUGGGACUGAGACACGGCCCAGACUCCUACGGGAGGCAGCAGUGGGGAAUUUUGGACAAUGGGCGCAAGCCUGAUCCAGCCAUGCCGCGUGCGGGAAGAAGGCCUUCGGGUUGUAAACCGCUUUUGUCAGGGAAGAAAAGGUUCUGGCUAAUACCUGGGACUCAUGACGGUACCUGAAGAAUAAGCACCGGCUAACUACGUG
rnacentral:rRNA from 1 species